rnacentral:rRNA from 1 species
AGGACGAACGCUGGCGGCGUGCUUAACACAUGCAAGUCGAGCGGUAAGGCCUUUCGGGGUACACGAGCGGCGAACGGGUGAGUAACACGUGGGUGAUCUGCCCUGCACUCUGGGAUAAACCUGGGAAACUGGGUCUAAUACCGGAUAUGACCUCAGGUUGCAUGACUUGGGGUGGAAAGAUUUAUCGGUGCAGGAUGGGCCCGCGGCCUAUCAGCUUGUUGGUGGGGUAAUGGCCUACCAAGGCGACGACGGGUAGCCGACCUGAGAGGGUGACCGGCCACGACUGGGACUGAGACACGGCCCAGACUCCUACGGGAGGCAGCAGUGGGAAUAUUGCACAAUGGGCGAAAGCCUGAUGCAGCGACGCCGCGUGAGGAUGACGGCCUUCGGUUCGUAAACCUCUUUCAGCAGGGACGAAGCGACAAGUAGACGUACCUGACAGAAGAAGACACCGGACUAACGUACGUAGCCGAGCC